rnacentral:rRNA from 1 species
AUUGAACGCUGGCGGAAUGCUUUACACAUGCAAGUCGAACGGCAGCACGGGGCAACCUGGUGGCGAGUGGCGAACGGGUGAGUAAUACAUCGGAACGUGCCCAAUCGUGGGGGAUAACGUAGCGAAAGCUACGCUAAUACCGCAUACGAUCUACGGAUGAAAGCGGGGGAUCGCAAGACCUCGCGCGAAUGGAGCGGCCGAUGGCAGAUUAGGUAGUUGGUGGGGUAAAGGCUCACCAAGCCUGCGAUCUGUAGCUGGUCUGAGAGGACGACCAGCCACACUGGAACUGAGACACGGUCCAGACUCCUACGGGAGGCAGCAGUGGGGAAUUUUGGACAAUGGGCGCAAGCCUGAUCCAGCCAUUCCGCGUGCAGGAUGAAGGCCCUCGGGUUGUAAACUGCUUUUGUACGGAACGAAAAAGGCUUUCUCUAAUACAGGGGGCUCAUGACGGUACCGUAAGAAUAAAGCACCGGCUAACUACGUGCCAGCAGCCGCG